AUGCACGCUGGCGGCGUGCCUAAUACAUGCAAGUCGAGCGAACGGACGAGAAGCUUGCUUCUCUGAUGUUAGCGGCGGACGGGUGAGUAACACGUGGAUAACCUACCUAUAAGACUGGGAUAACUUCGGGAAACCGUAGCUAAUACCGGAUAAUAUUUUGAACCGCAUGGUUCAAAAGUGAAAGACGGUCUUGCUGUCACUUAUAGAUGGAUCCGCGCUGCAUUAGCUAGUUGGUAAGGUAACGGCUUACCAAGGCAACGAUGCAUAGCCGACCUGAGAGGGUGAUCGGCCACACUGGAACUGAGACACGGUCCAGACUCCUACGGGAGGCAGCAGUAGGGAAUCUUCCGCAAUGGGCGAAAGCCUGACGGAGCAACGCCGCGUGAGUGAUGAAGAUCUUCGGAUCGUAAAACUCUGUUAUUAGGGAAGAACAUAUGUGUAAGUAACUGUGCACAUCUUGACGGUACCUAAUCAGAAAGCCACGGCUAACUACGUG
rnacentral:rRNA from 1 species